rnacentral:lncRNA from 1 species
CUCUGAGUUUAAGGCUACCCUGAUUUAUAAAUCCAGUUCCAGGCUGGAGAGAUGACUCAACGGUUAACCCAACUGGAUCAAAUCCCAGUAACCACAUGGUGGCUCACAACCAUCUGUAAUGGGAUCUGAUGCCCUCUUCUGGUGUGUUGAAGACAACGACAGUGUACUCAUAUAAAUAAAAUAAAUAAAUCUUUAAAAAAAAAAUUAUGGGCUGGAGAGAUGGCUCAGUGGUUAAGAGCACUGGCUGCUCUUCCAGAGGUCCUGAGUUCAAUUCCCAGCAACCACAUGGUGGCUUACAACCAUCUAUAAUCAGGUCUGGUGCCCUCUUCUGGCCUGCAGGUGCAUACACACAGGCAGAAAGCUGUAUGAUAUAUAUAUACAUAAUAAAUAAAUAAAUGUUUAAAAAAAAUUACAAAUUAACUUCCAGGACAACUAAGAUUACCCAGAAAAUCUCUAUCUCAAAAAAUCUAAAUUUUCUGUGUGAAGUUUAAAUUUGGCUAAUUUUGCAAGUUCUAAUAAAAAGUUAACUUUUUAUUUAUGUAUAUGAGUACACCUGGUUUUCAGACACACCAGAAGAAGGCAUCUGAUCCCAUUACAGAUGUUUGCGGCUGCUGCAGUUUGAACUCAGGACCUUUGGAAUAGCAGUCAGUGCUCUUAACUGCUAAGCUAUCUCUCUAGCCAAAAGUUAACUUUUAUAUGGUAAGAUUACUAAUUAUAUUCAUAUAGGCUGUUUUUCAUGUUAAAAGUUUUUUUCCCAAAACUAUAAAAGGGGAAGAACCAGUGAGAUGGCUCAGUGAGUUAAGGCACUUGCUGCCUAGCCACGUUCAGUCCUUCCUUCUUUCUGUUACCAAUAAUUCUGAACACACACACAUCCUUUUUUUUAUCGAACUCGAUAUAUUUUGAUCAUGUUUCCCCUUCCUAUCGCUCAUGAAGUCCUCCCCACCUCUCAGCCACAGAAGAGAAUGAAAGUUCACAAACAAAA